rnacentral:rRNA from 1 species
UGUAGCUUGACAUUGGGUCUUGGUACUACAUGUACAGGAUAGGUGGGAGGCUUUGAAACCAGGACGCCAGUUUUGGCGGAGCCAUCCUUGGGAUACCACCCUUGUAGUACUGGGACUCUAACCAUAGGCCAUGAAUCUGGUCUUGGGACACUGUCAGGUGGGCAGUUUGACUGGGGCGGUCGCCUCCCAAAAGGUAACGGAGGCGCUCAAAGGUUCUCUCAGUACGGUCGGAAAUCGUACGUAGAGUGUAAAGGCAAAAGAGAGCUUGAUUGCAAGACAUACAGGUCGAGCAAGGAUGAAAAUCGGACUUAGUGAUCCGGUGGUUCUGCGUGGAAGGGCCAUCGCUCAACGGAUAAAAGCUACCCUGGGGAUAACAGGCUUAGCUCCCCCAAGAGUCCACAUCGACGGGGAGGUUUGGCACCUCGAUGUCGGCUCAUCACAUCCUGGGGCUGUAGUAGGUCCCAAGGGUUGGGCUGUUCGCCCAUUAAAGUGGUACGCGAGCUGGGUUCAGAACGUCGUGAGACAGUUCGGUCCCUAUCCGUCGCAGGCGUAGGAAAUUUGAGAAGACCUGUCCUUAGUA